rnacentral:hammerhead_ribozyme from 1 species
AUUUCCCUGAAGAGAAGAUUACAUAUUUACAACAUCACUCAUUCAUUUAGAGGAGACCAUUUGUAUUCUUCGAAACAUAUGUCGGAAAU